GAUGGGAUUCAUAUCCUUAUAAGAAGAGAAAGAGAUGGAGCUUGCUUUCUCUGCUCUCUACUAUGUGAGGACGCACCAAGAAGGCAGAUAGCUGCAAACCAGAGAGCGAGCCCUCACCAAGAACCAAAUCUGCCGGUGACUUGAUGUUGGACUUCUUAGCCUUCACAACGUUAGCCGUGAGAUAACGAAAUCAUGAUUCAAACAAUCAAAUCCAAACUCUCCAUUGCCCGGCUGGUGAGUGCCUCUCUUCUUUCUGCAAAUUGUAUCAGCUCUUUCUCUGACCAGUCUCUGCGAAGCAGAAAGUAGAAGCAAUCAGUCAUCUUCAGAACUUAGCCCAUAGCGAGCUUCAUGGAGAUCUUGAUAUUCUCCUGUCCUUAAGUCCUUUUAAAAUGAGAGCAGAGAUUCAAGAGGGAAGAAGUGCAGAGGUGAAGAGCAGAGAGCUGUGUUCUUGGAGAAAUAUCAGUGAGGACACUUGCAGUGUGCCAUUUCUUUGAGAUGAGGGACCUUGUCUGUUUUGGUCAUCGCUCUACUCCAAAGGUUUUGUUGUAGCUGGAAGUCUGUAGCUCAAAAGGAAGUUAUCAAGAUUUUAUGUAAAGCUUUUGUGUUGAUGUAGUCAAACAUGGCAUGAGGACAACACCAAACCCGAUACUAUGGAGGACAAUGUUUAAUCAGCUUACAGAGAUUUGGCGUUUAUCAGUCUUCCCUUCCCUCCCCCCACAUAAUGGCAUAUAAGGACUUCAACGGUUAAAAUAUAGCCUUAAGUGGGCCCCUCAGCCACCAGAGAAUUGGAUUGUAUCUCUUAUAAGCAAGGAAGCUGUCCAUGUGGAAAGCAUCACUCCCAUGGGAUAUUUGUAUGACUGUUCAAAUUUAAACAAUAUAUCUGGGGAAAAGAAAGAA